rnacentral:rRNA from 1 species
UACGUAGGGCGCAAGCGUUGUCCGGAAUUAUUGGGCGUAAAGAGCUCGUAGGCGGCUUGUCACGUCGGAUGUGAAAGCCCGAGGCUUAACCUCGGGUCUGCAUUCGAUACGGGCUAGCUAGAGUGUGGUAGGGGAGAUCGGAAUUCCUGGUGUAGCGGUGAAAUGCGCAGAUAUCAGGAGGAACACCGGUGGCGAAGGCGGAUCUCUGGGCCAUUACUGACGCUGAGGAGCGAAAGCGUGGGGAGCAAACAGG